UACGUAGGGACCAAGCGUUGUUCGGAAUUACUGGGCGUAAAGGGCGCGUAGGCGGCCUGCUAAGUCGAACGUGAAAUCCCUGGGCUCAACCCAGGAACUGCGUCCGAUACUGGUUGGCUUGAAUCCGGGAGAGGGAUGUGGAAUUCCAGGUGUAGCGGUGAAAUGCGUAGAUAUCUGGAGGGACACCGGUGGCGAAGGCGACAUCCUGGACCGGCAUUGACGCUGAGGCGCGAAAGCCAGGGGAGCAAACGGG
rnacentral:rRNA from 1 species